rnacentral:piRNA from 1 species
CCAAAAAAAAGAACUCUCUGAGUCCAAGCC